rnacentral:tRNA from 1 species
GGUGUUGUGGCUUAGUGGUAGAGCUCUUGCUUUGCAUGUGCAAGGCCCAGGCUUCUAUCCUCAGCACCA